AUGUAAUGUAAUGCCUACAACGUUAAUGCAUCGGAUCCCAUUAGAAAUCCGUAGCUAAGCGUUCUUGGGAUAGAGUAGUACUGGGAUAGGUGACCUCUUGGGAAGUCCUAGUGUUUUACAUG
rnacentral:rRNA from 1 species